AACCACCUAAGCUUUCCUCCUUUGACACAACUUCCUUGUUUCUUCUUCUUCCUCCUUAAAUAAUGGCGUAAUUCUUCUUGGAACCUCCUUUUUGGAGUUUUACUGGCGUCUAAGACAAGAUUUCUGAUUUUUUCACCCAAAAUCAAAUUUCUUCCUUCCUUCCAUCAACUUUAUUUACGAUUUCCAAGUUUUCAAAAUUGUGGGAAUUAUUCUGUAAAAGGGUAUUUGAUUUUGCAAAAUAAAAAUUAGGGGGGAAAUAAAGAGGAGGCAAGAUUAUCUGAUUGAUUUAUGUCUCUGACAUUUCCCAACCUAUCUUGGUGGUUGUGGAGUGGUAAAAAAAAAGAUGCUAAAUUGAAGAAAGAGUCUUCUCUUGAUUCGUCGUCCGAAUUGAAUGUGGAUGUAUUGAAGUUCCCUGCUAUUAGUGGGACUGGGGGUAAUUUAGGUUCUAACUCGAGGAGGGGGAGGCGAAAAGGGCGGGCUCAAGAGGGUGGGAAGGUUGAUAAGGAGCAUGAUGUUGUCCUUGUGCCUUCAGAUGGAGGUGGUACGUCUGAUAAUGAAUCGGAUGCUUCAGAUUGGUCGAUAGGAUGGUCGGAGCCACAUGCCUCGGGGUUCUUGAGUGAGGAUGAAAUUGAUGGGGGAUUUGGUGUUCUUGUCCGCUGCUAUGGGCGUGGUUCUGGAGGGAAUCAAGACCGUAGAAAGAACAGUGUGGUCAAUAAUGCCAAUGUACCAGAGCUUUAUUCUGCUGGUAUUGAACGGUUCAUGUUGGUCUUAUUUGUACUUUGAUAUAUGAGGGGAUCAAAAUUGCAAAGCUCUUUUUAUCCCUCCUCUCUAGACUUUGGUUUUCAAGAAUGAAGGGCUUACAUAGUUGCCCAAAAAGCUUGGAGCAUGAUGGCGAAAAGUACAUGGAACGGUGGCUUUCUUCUCUACAGCAUAACUGAACUAGCCAGAUUGCUCCCUGCCAUGCUCUUUCUGCUGCUGUGUAGUUUGGGAAUUACAUGAACCUUAAAAUGGGGUUUUUAUCAGUUGAUGUAUUUCAACUUCUUUGAUACGGCUUAUAAAUCAAACGGUUUACUCGUAUUUAAUUAUUUUUAUCAUGUAGGUUUGUUAAUAAAAUCUUGAAUCUUUUUUAAAAAGAAAAAAAACAUAAAUAAUAGGGGGAAAAAAACAAUUAAAAAAAAAAUGCCCUGAAUUACUGCUAGUGUGAAUUCUUUGUUUCGACCGCCUUUGUAAAUACAUUUGGAUAUGUGGAUAACUUGAUUCAUCAGUUGUAAAUACUUUUAAUUCAAAAUUAAUAUCAAAAACUCUGUUUUAUUGUUUGAUCUUUUAUUAUUAUAGUAUGUAAUAGCCUUGCUUAGUUAUCUUCCUACAUAAGCAUUUGACAGUGAUGUGAAUUAUUUUUGGUUAGAAAUCUGGAUCAACUGAGAUUCGUGGAUUACGUGCAGAGUUGUUGAUAACUUUGUGGAAUUGUGGUUGCUUGUAAUUUGUAAAUGCAAAGGCUAGGUUUCCAAGCAAAUUAUCUUCUUAGCUUUACCAUUUACUCAUUCCUCUUAUUUAUUUAUUUAUUUAUUAUUAUUUUUAUUUAUUUAUUUAUCCUUUCCUGUAAGAAUACACCUCAUGAUUAGUUUGAGGCCCUUAACUUACGACAAAAAAGUAACUAAUCACUAGUCUU